rnacentral:rRNA from 1 species
GUGGGGAAUAUUGGACAAUGGGCGAAAGCCUGAUCCAGCCAUGCCGCGUGUGUGAAGAAGGCCUUUUGGUUGUAAAGCACUUUAAGCGAGGAGGAGGCUACCGAGAUUAAUACUCUUGGAUAGUGGACGUUACUCGCAGAAUAAGCACCGGCUAACUCUGUGCCAGCAGCCGCGGUAAUACAGAGGGUGCAAGCGUUAAUCGGAUUUACUGGGCGUAAAGCGCGCGUAGGUGGCCAAUUAAGUCAAAUGUGAAAUCCCCGAGCUUAACUUGGGAAUUGCAUUCGAUACUGGUUGGCUAGAGUAUGGGAGAGGAUGGUAGAAUUCCAGGUGUAGCGGUGAAAUGCGUAGAGAUCUGGAGGAAUACCGAUGGCGAAGGCAGCCAUCUGGCCUAAUACUGACACUGAGGUGCGAAAGCAUGGGGAGCAAACAGGAUUAGAUACCCGAGUAGUCC